rnacentral:rRNA from 1 species
CAAUGGGGGCAACCCUGAUCCAGCCAUCCCGCGUGUGCGAUGAAGGCCUUCGGGUUGUAAAGCACUUUUGGCAGGGAAGAAACAGCCUGGGCUAAUAUCCCGGGCGACUGACGGUACCUGCAGAAUAAGCACCGGCUAACUACGUGCCAGCAGCCGCGGUAAUACGUAGGGUGCAAGCGUUAAUCGGAAUUACUGGGCGUAAAGCGUGCGCAGGCGGUUCGGAAAGAAAGGUGUGAAAUCCCAGGGCUUAACCUUGGAACUGCACUUUUAACUACCGGGCUAGAGUACGUCAGAGGGGGGUAGAAUUCCACGUGUAGCAGUGAAAUGCGUAGAGAUGUGGAGGAAUACCGAUGGCGAAGGCAGCCCCCUGGGAUGAUACUGACGCUCAUGCACGAAAGCGUGGGGAGCAAACA